rnacentral:rRNA from 1 species
GAUGAACGCUGGCGGCGUGCCUAAUACAUGCAAGUAGAACGCUGAAGCUUGGUGCUUGCACCGAGCGGAUGAGUUGCGAACGGGUGAGUAACCGCGUAGGUAACCUGCCUCUUAGCGGGGGAUAACUAUUGGAAACGAUAGCUAAUACCGCAUAAAAGUCGACAUUGCAUGAUGUUGACUUGAAAGGUGCAAUUGCAUCACUAAGAGAUGGACCUGCGUUGUAUUAGCUAGUUGGUGAGGUAACGGCUCACCAAGGCAACGAUACAUAGCCGACCUGAGAGGGUGAUCGGCCACACUGGGACUGAGACACGGCCCAGACUCCUACGGGAGGCAGCAGUAGGGAAUCUUCGGCAAUGGGGGCAACCCUGACCGAGCACUCGCCGCGUGAGUGAAGAAGGUUUUCGGAUCGUAAAGCUCUGUUGUAAGAGAAGAACGAGUGUGAGACGUGGAAAGUUCACACUGGACGG